rnacentral:lncRNA from 12 species
CCAGCACCGGGUUGGAGUUCCAUGGGCAACUUUGCUCUAAAUUCCCUCUUAAAUGGAAAAAAAAGAAAAACAUGGACGGAAGGCAGAGGAGCAUAAAUCUUGCGAGUUGCUUUUCCGAGACCGGCCAGAACCAGCCCUUAAAGGAAGACACUGUGCGCUGCUGGCGGCUGUAGUCUUCUCAUUUCGAUUUCAACAAGUAGCCCCAGCCAGAGAAGCCUUAGAAGAUCAAGCCUCACAUCUCCUGGUCGUGGAAUUCCUUUCCGCAGGCCCCACUGCAGGCUCAGGCCUCCGCGUAACCCGAGCCGCCCCCACCUCCCAGCAGACAGCACAUUAAAGGGAGGUCUGCGGGCCAGCUGCAGAGACAGGUGUUGCGCUCCCUCACUUUACACCCGCCCCCAUUUAUUUGUCCUAAGAAUUCCUCUCCGGGGGCUGUGGAGCCCCGCCGAUGGGGUCGGGCAGACUUUCUAGUUGCGGGGUGCGGGAUGCCCGCGCUGCACCUGCUCGGUGGCUUAGCUCGCUGAGCCGGGCUUGCAGAGGCAGCGCGGUCCGUCCCCCCGUUAAGGAGCCAGGGGGCCGCGGGGCCGCUCCCGGUCCACCCCACGACGUGUUUACCGACUCGGAUUCCAGCCCUGCUCUUUGCCGAGGGCUGACUCAUGCUGCUUUCUGAGAAACUGGAGAAGUGGAGAAAAUGCGGUGAUUAUUGUCCUUUUCUCGCCCGUGUUGCAGGGCCCGUGAAAACCAGGCCCGGUGGAGUCCUAUCAAAUUUAAGGCCGGUAAGGGCAAAUCCAGAUCAAUUUUUAGGGCGCGAUUAUCUAAAUGAGAAGGGUCGGAUAUCUCAGGGCUUGCUGCAGGCUCUGCUGUUGCUUCCACCGUCCCUUUGGAGGGGGUCGGGAUUUUCCCCGGAGAGUGAGUUUAUAGGCUGAGGAGGUGCCAACCUGUGGCCUGUCUGGCCUGGAUCACCAUGAUCCAUCAUGAGGUCUCCUCGUCGUGGCAACUGAGGAAGCUGGAGGCGCUUAUUUCUCCUCCUAAUCUGAAGUUUAGCUGUGAAAAUCCCUCUUUGAGGGGCAUCA